rnacentral:rRNA from 1 species
CCAAUAGCGUAUAUUAAAGUUGUUGCAGUUAAAAAGCUCGUAGUUGAAUUUCGGGAUUGACACAUCGGUCGUGCCUUAAGGGGUAUGAACUGGUGUAGUCAGUUUCUCACCUUCUGGAGAACCGCGAUGUCCUUAAUUGGGUGCCGUGAGGAACCAGGACCUUUACUUUGAAAAAAUUAGAGUGUUUAAAGCAGGCAUUU